AUAAAUAUGUAGAGAAAAAGGACGGAGAGUUCGAUACCAAACUAGUUAUUUCAAAAUCUUGUUGGCCACUGUGAAGAUAAAAUAUUGAAUAAAGAUUGAGAAAAUGUCGGAAAAACAUCAAUUUUUAAAUUUGGGACGAAAAGACUUUGAAUUUUCAAAAUGUCAUUUAAGUCAUAAAGUUAUUUUUGAUUCUUUGAUAAGUUUUGUUAACUGGAUCAUUUCAGACAUGCAGUGAAAUUUCCAUAAACAGAGUUAACUUUUCGUUAGAAAUUUCUGUUAAAUCAAACGAUGUCGUUUAUGAGCUUAUAACAAAAGGACGUCGGUUUAGAUAGACGGCUGUGAUUUGUUAUAUUUUAUCUGUUUAGAUAGAUUUUCCAACACAAGAAAACUCUUUGACAGCUGAGUGUUGCAGAGAGUAAGUAGGUUU
rnacentral:sRNA from 1 species